rnacentral:rRNA from 1 species
ACAGUCACACAUUAGAUACCCGCGUAGUCCCAGCUGUAAACGAUGCGCGUUAGGUGUGUCAGUGACCACGUGUCACUGAGGUGCCGAAGGGAAACCGUGAAACGCGCCGCCUGGGGAGUACGGUCGCAAGGCUGAAACUUAAGGGAAUUGGCGGGGGAGCACCACAACGGGUGGAGCCUGCGGUUUAAUCGGACUCAACGCCGGAAAUCUCACCGGAUAAGACAGCUGAAUGAUAGUCGGGAUGAAGACUCUACUUGACUAGCUG